rnacentral:misc_RNA from 1 species
GGAAUAUUGCACAAUGGGCGAAAGCCUGAUGCAGCGACGCCGCGUGAGGGAUGACGGCCUUCGGGUUGUAAACCUCUUUCGCACGGGACGAAGCGAGAGUGACGGUACCGUGAGAAGAAGCACCGGCUAACUACGUGCCAGCAGCCGCGGUAAUACGUAGGGUGCGAGCGUUGUCCGGAAUUAUUGGGCGUAAAGAGCUCGUAGGCGGUUUGUCGCGUCUAUCGUGAAAACUGGAGGCUUAACUUCCAGCGUGCGGUGGAUACGGGCAGACUUGAGUUCGGUAGGGGAGACUGGAAUUCCUGGUGUAGCGGUGAAAUGCGCAGAUAUCAGGAGGAACACCGGUGGCGAAGGCGGGUCUCUGGGCCGAUACUGACGCUGAGGAGCGAAAGCGUGGGGAGCGAACAGGA